rnacentral:piRNA from 1 species
CAAGAGUCUUUAAUAUUUUAUAACAUUU